GUACAUCGUCUUCUCGUUUUUCCCUCCUCCCCCACAGUGAGUCCCUGCUCUGCAGAGGUGUCUCCUCCGGAGGCAGUCUUGCGUCCUGCAGUGCUAGUUCCGCAGAGGAGGGCAACAGGAGAAACAACUAUGAUGGCUGCUUUGGUGCAGGGAUGGUUCUGUGCUGAGAUGGCAUUUGUUUCUGGCAGGAGCGGGGAGAACAUAACGCAGCUGGGUUAUUUACUUGAGCCACAACAGAAUAUUUUACUUCAUCUGCAUUAUUCAAUAAUGAAGCCAAGAGCUCGUCUCAGGGAUUGGCAUCACCAAACGUCUGUUGAAGUCCAAACUUGAACAGAAGCCCCUGUCCCUCCUUAUCCUCCGCAUUGCUGCCAAAUAUGCAAGCACCAACAGGAACAAGAGCAGCAGCCUUCACUGGAUUUGAGUCAAGCACAGAGGAACAGGGCACCAAGCCAGUCUGCAGAAACUGGAAAGAAGAACUUGUAAUACCAGUGAUCCCUUCUCUUUUAGACAAGGCUUCCAGCAAAGGCCAGCAGAUGUCUCUUAAAAUUAUCCAGAGUCUCCUCUACAGUAUAAACACCCCAACUGCUUUACACAUAUAA
rnacentral:lncRNA from 1 species